rnacentral:rRNA from 1 species
UAUACCGUGAAACUGCGAAUGGCUCAUUAAAUCAGUUAUCGUUUAUUUGAUAGUACCUUACUACUUGGAUAACCGUGGUAAUUCUAGAGCUAAUACAUGCUUAAAACCCCAACUUCGGGAGGGGUGUAUUUAUUAGAUAAAAAACCAACGCCCUUCGGGGCUUCUUGGUGAUUCAUGAUAACUUUACGGAUCGCAUGGCCUUGCGCUGGCGACGGUUCAUUCAAAUUUCUGCCCUAUCAACUUUCGAUGGUAAGGUAUUGGCUUACCAUGGUUUCAACGGGUAACGGGGAAUUAGGGUUCGAUUCCGGAGAGGGAGCCUGAGAAACGGCUACCACAUCCAAGGAAGGCAGCAGGCGCGCAAAUUACCCAAUCCCGACACGGGGAGGUAGUGACAAUAAAUACUGAUACAGGGCUCUUUUGGGUCUUGUAAUUGGAAUGAGUACAAUUUAAACCUCUUAACGAGGAACAAUUGGAGGGCAAGUCUGGUGCCAGCAGCCGCGGUAAUUCCAGCUCCAAUAGCGUAUAUUAAAGUUGUUGCAGUUAAAAAGCUCGUAGUUGAAACUUGGGUCUGGCUGGCGGGUCCGCCUCACCGCGUGUACUUGUCCGGCCGGGCCUUCCUUCUGGAGAACCUCAUGCCCUUUACUGGGCGUGUUGGGGACCAGGACUUUUACUUUGAAAAAAUUAGAGUGUUCAAAGCAGGCCUUUGCUCGAAUACGUUAGCAUGGAAUAAUAGAAUAGGACGUGCGGUCCUAUUUUGUUGGUUUCUAGGACCGCCGUAAUGAUUAAUAGGGACAGUCGGGGGCAUCAGUAUUCAAUUGUCAGAGGUGAAAUUCUUGGAUUUAUUGAAGACUAACUACUGCGAAAGCAUUUGCCAAGGAUGUUUUCAUUAAUCAGUGAACGAAAGUUAGGGGAUCGAAGACGAUCAGAUACCGUCGUAGUCUUAACCGUAAACUAUGCCGACUAGGGAUCGGGCGAUGUUCUUUUUCUGACUCGCUCGGCACCUUACGAGAAAUCAAAGUU